rnacentral:antisense_RNA from 2 species
CUUGACCGACCCCAGGUAGAGCGGCUCGCCGGUGCGGUCCUGGCCGUACGUGGCGAGCAGCGCCUGGGCCUC